rnacentral:rRNA from 1 species
GGCUCAGGACGAACGCUGGCGGCGUGCCUAAUACAUGCAAGUCGAGCGAAUGACAAGGAGCUUGCUCCUUUGAUUUAGCGGCGGACGGGUGAGUAACACGUGGGUAACCUACCCUAUAGACUGGGAUAACUUCGGGAAACCGGAGCUAAUACCGGAUAAUACUUUUGAACACAUGUUCGAAAGUUGAAAGAUGGUUUCGGCUAUCACUAUAGGAUGGACCCGCGGCGCAUUAGCUAGUUGGUGGGGUAAUGGCUCACCAAGGCAACGAUGCGUAGCCGACCUGAGAGGGUGAUCGGCCACACUGGGACUGAGACACGGCCCAGACUCCUACGGGAGGCAGCAGUAGGGAAUCUUCCACAAUGGACGAAAGUCUGAUGGAGCAACGCCGCCGUGAGUGAAGAAGGAUUUCGGUUCGUAAAACUCUGUUGCAGGGGAAGAACAAGUAGCGUAGUAACUGGCGCUACCUUGACGGUACCUUGUUAGAAAGCCACGGCUAACUACGUGCCAGCCGCCGC